rnacentral:rRNA from 1 species
GAUGAACGCUGGCGGCGUGCCUAAUACAUGCAAGUCGAGCGAACAGAUGAGGAGCUUGCUCCUCUGACGUUAGCGGCGGACGGGUGAGUAACACGUGGAUAACCUACCUAUAAGACUGGGAUAACUUCGGGAAACCGGAGCUAAUACCGGAUAAUAUAUUGAACCGCAUGGUUCAAUAGUGAAAGACGGUUUUGCUGUCACUUAUAGAUGGAUCCGCGCCGCAUUAGCUAGUUGGUAAGGUAACGGCUUACCAAGGCAACGAUGCGUAGCCGACCUGAGAGGGUGAUCGGCCACACUGGAACUGAGACACGGUCCAGACUCCUACGGGAGGCAGCAGUAGGGAAUCUUCCGCAAUGGGCGAAAGCCUGACGGAGCAACGCCGCGUGAUUGAUGAAGGUCUUCGGAUCGUAAAACUCUGUUAUUAGGGAAGAACAAAUGUGUAAGUAACUAUGCACGUCUUGACGGUACCUAGUCAGAAAGCCACGGCUAACUACGUG